GACGAACGCUGGCGGCGUGCUUAACACAUGCAAGUCGAACGGAAAGGCCCUGCUUUUGUGGGGUGCUCGAGUGGCGAACGGGUGAGUAACACGUGAGUAACCUGCCCUUGACUUUGGGAUAACUUCAGGAAACUGGGGCUAAUACCGGAUAGGAGCUCCUGCUGCAUGGUGGGGGUUGGAAAGUUUCGGCGGUUGGGGAUGGACUCGCGGCUUAUCAGCUUGUUGGUGGGGUAGUGGCUUACCAAGGCUUUGACGGGUAGCCGGCCUGAGAGGGUGACCGGCCACAUUGGGACUGAGAUACGGCCCAGACUCCUACGGGAGGCAGCAGCGGGGAAUAUUGCACAAUGGGCGGAAGCCUGAUGCAGCAACGCCGCGUGCGGGAUGACGGCCUUCGGGUUGUAAACCGUUUUCGCCUGUGACGAAGCGUGAGUGACGGUAAUGGGUAAAGAAGCACCGGCUAACUACGUG
rnacentral:rRNA from 1 species